AUGACCCCCUAUGGACUUCACAACGAGAGCUCCUUUCCAAACAAUAAGAACAUGCAGAUGCUCAAGUUGGACAAGGAUAAAGCCAUCUAUCAUGCCGAGCAGGACGAGGCCGACAAGAAGCAAGCAGAGGACCGCGGCAAGCAGCUGGAAAAGGAGCAGAAGCCAGAAAAAGCUCAGGGGAUGGAGGAUGAAGUGGGAAAGUAUUCUGAGUCCAUGAAGGAUGCCCGGGAGAAACUGGAGCAGGCGGAGAGGAAAACCACCCACGCUGAAGCAGAUGUGGCCUCCGUGAACUGCCACAUCCAGCUGGUAGAGGAGGAGUUGUACCGGUGCAGGAGCGUCUGGCCACAGCCCUGCAGAAACUGGAGGAGGCUGAGAAGGUAGCUGAUGAGAGCAAGAGAGGAAUGAAGGUCAUUGAAAACCGGGCCAUGAAGGAUGAGGAAAAAGAUAGAGCUGAAGGAGAUGCAGCUGAAGGAGGCAAAGCACCUCGCUGAGGAUUCAGAUCGCAAAUAUGAGGAGGUGGCCAGGAAGCUGGUGAUCCUGGAAGGAGAGCUGGAGCGCUCAGAAGAGAGGGCCGAGGUGGCUGAGAACCGAGCCAGGCAGCUGGAGGAGGAACUUCGAAACCAUGGACCAGGCCCUCAAGUCCCUGAUAGUCUCAGAGGAGGACUACCCCACCAAAAAGGAUAAAUAUGAAGACGAGAAGGUGAGGGAGGCUGAAACUCAAGCAGAGUUUGCUGAAAGGUCUGUGGCCAAGUUGGAGAAAACCACUGAUGAUCUAGAAGAGACCUUGGCCAGUGCCAAAGAGGAGAAGUGGAGAUACACCAGACCCUGGACCAGACCCUGCUGGAACUGAAGAACCUGUGA